AUGCACAUUGUACGAGACCGCGAGAGGCCUCAUGUUCAUAUUAUCACCAUCCGGUACCUGGCUGAAUCACAUGGGAAACUGCUUAUGGUGAGGCACGCGAUGGAACGUCCUAGCGACCUUUGUGGUUUUACUCGUAAGGUGGAGGUGUUUGAGGCGGACGUUAGUGCAAACACGUGGGUGCCCAUGUCAACUGGGCUACAUGGCCAUGCACCCUUUCUCAGCAAACACUGUAGUAAGUCUGUUUUUGUAGGUGACGAGAUUGAAGGGGAUGCUAUUUAUUUUAUUGAAUAUGCUGAAGUGUUCAACAUGAGAUUCAAGACUGCAAGCCCCCCAACUACAGAUUUCGAUUUUGUUGCAAUGUGGCUCUUUUAUCCUGACGCCAUCGAAAGAUCCGCGGAGGAGGUGCAUGGCACGUCGGAGAAGAGGAGUCGAUUCGCCGCUUACCUCGUCGUUGAAGUGGAUCCACACCGGAGGAAAAGCUCGAGAGGGGGGAAAUGGUGGCGGGAGUUUUUCGAUCCGCGGCGGUCACCUUGGAUAUAUAAGGCGACCGAAUCCGCAGGCGGUGACUUGAAUUCGUCCCGCUGCUUUUUUGGAGAUGCGCCAUCGCUCCCGCCAUGUCACUGGCCGCAGCUGCACGACGCGAUGUUCCCCUCCCCUCCCCUGCGUUUAUGGAUUCGGCCGUUCCUAACGGACCCGGUUGAGCACUGCUCUGCUUUAAGAUCUCCUACCACCAUGGCCGUCGGCUCCUCCUUCCAAGCCCCCAUGGAAGCAAACCCUAGCCUAGCCGCCUCUCUCUCCUGCUCCUGCUCCUGUCCUCCUCAGAUCUCCUACCACCAUGGCCUCGUUCUUCCUUCAACCCCCCUGCGACCUUCCAUGGCGACAUGGAUCUAG
rnacentral:rRNA from 1 species